AUCGGUGAAUUUUAUCAUAACCUA
rnacentral:siRNA from 1 species